UACGAAGGGGGCUAGCGUUGCUCGGAAUCACUGGGCGUAAAGCGCACGUAGGCGGGUCUUUAAGUCAGGGGUGAAAUCCCGGAGCUCAACUCCGGAACUGCCUUUGAUACUGGAGAUCUUGAGUCCGGGAGAGGUGAGUGGAACUCCGAGUGUAGAGGUGAAAUUCGUAGAUAAUUCGGAGAACACCAGUGGCGAAAGGCGGCUCACUGGCCCGGUACUGACGCUGAGGGUGCGAAAGCGUGGGGAGCAAACAGG
rnacentral:rRNA from 1 species